GACGAACGCUGGCGGCGUGCUUAACACAUGCAAGUCGAACGGUGAAGCGCCUUCCUUUUUGGUGGGUGUGGAUGAGUGGCGAACGGGUGAGUAACACGUGAGUAACCUGCCCCCUUCUUCUGGAUAACCGCAUGAAAGUGUGGCUAAUACGGGAUAUUCUGGGUCUGUCGCAUGAUGGGUCUGGGAAAGAUAUUGUUUCGGUGGGGGAUGGGCUCGCGGCCUAUCAGCUUGUUGGUGGGGUGAUGGCCUACCAAGGCGGUGACGGGUAGCCGGCCUGCGAGGAUGGACGGUCUCACUGGGACUGAGACACGGGCCAGACUCCUACGGGGGGCAGCAGUGGGGAAUAUUGCACAAUGGGAGUAAGGCUGAUGCAGCGCCGCCGCGUGUGGGAUGGAUGCCUUCGGGUUGUGAACCUCUUUCGCCAGUGAAGCAGGCCUGCCUCGUUUGUGGGUGGGUUGACGGUAGCUGGAUAAGAAGCGCCGGCUAACUACGUG
rnacentral:rRNA from 1 species